UGACUAAAUUAAAGACUAAAUUGUGUUUAAUGAAAGACUUAUGCUAGCUUCAUUGAAGACUCUAAAUUGAACGAAAUGUGUUUAAAAACAUGUUAGGUUCAUUGAACGCAGCGUUUUUCAGUGUUCACAAAAACUCAUGCUAGCAUAGUUAAAGACUCUAAAUUGUCUCUGGAAAGACGUAUGCUAGCAUUUCAGGAAAGCUCGAGAAGCUAAAUUCCGAGUUAGCUUUGAUGAAGUCUCUAAACUGUUCUCAAUAUUUAGUCUUAGCUUAAAAGUUAGCUUAAAAGCAUUGUUAUGUUAAAAAAUGUAUGUUCGAUUGAGUGGAGCCUAAAUGAAAUUAAAUAAAACACUUAUGCUAGCUUCAUUGAAGACUCUAAAUUGUCCAAAAUGUGUAUGAAAACACGUGUAGUCCGUUCAGUGCUUACUAAAACUUGUAUGUUAGCUUCAAUUUAAAAUAUACACAAAUGUAUAUAUUAGUAUAUUACCACAUCAGGUAAGCUAAAAAAGCUAAAUUCUGAGUUAGCUUUGAUGAGGACGCUAAACUGUCCUCAAUAGUUAUUAGUCUUGUAAGUUAGCUUAAAAGCAUUGUUAAAAAUGUUCAAUUGAGUGGAGCCUAAAUGAAAUUAAAUAAAACACUUAUGCUAGCAUAGUUGAAGACUCUGAAUUGUCUCCGGAAAAACCUAUGCUAGCACGUCAGGUAAGCUAAAAAAAAAAAAAAGCUAAAUUCUGAGUUAGCUUUGAUGAAGACGCUAACCUUCAAUUGAGUGAAGCCUAAAUUGAAUGACAUAAAACACUUAUGCUAGCUUCAUUGAAGACUUAAAUUGUCCAAAAUGUGUAUGAAAACACGUGUAGUCCCUUCAGUGCUUACUAAAACUUGUAUGUUAGCUUCAAUUUACCUUCAACAUUUACACAAAAUGCUUAUAUUAGCUUUGUUGAACACGCAGCUGUUUUCAGUGUUAACAAAAACUCAUGCUAGCAUAGUUAAAGACUCUAAAUUGUCUCCGGAAAGACCUAUGCUAGCACGUCAGGUAAGCUAAAGAAGCUAAAUUCUGAGUUAGCUUUGAUGAAGACUCUAAACUGUCCUCAAUAUUUAGUCUUGUAAGUUAGCUUAAAAGCACUGUUAAAAAUGUUCAAUUGAGUGGAGCCUAAAUUAAAUUAAAUAAAACACUUAUGCUAGCAUAGUUGAAGACUCUGAAUUGUCUCCGGAAAAACCUAUGCUAGCACGUCAGGUAAGCUAAAAAAAAAAAAGCUAAAUUCUGAGUUAGCUUUGAUGAAGACGCUAACCUUCAAUUGAGUGAAGCCUAAAUUAAAUAACAUAAAACACUUAUGCUAGCUUCAUUGAAGACUCUAAAUUGUCCGAAAUGUGUAUGAAAACACGUGUAGUCCGUUCAGUGCUUACUAAAACUUGUAUGUUAGCUUCAAUUUACCUUCAACAUUUACACAAAACGUGUAUACUAGCUUUGUUGAACACGCAGCGUUUUUCAGUGUUAACAAAAACUCAUGCUAGCAUAGUUAAAGACUCUAAAUUGUCUCCGGAAAGACCUAUGCUAGCACGUCAGGUAAGCUAAAGAAGCUAAAUUCUGAGUUAGCUUUAAUGAGGACGCUAAACUGUCCUCAAUAGUUAUUAGUCUUGUAAGUUAGCUUAAAAGCAUUGUUAAAGAUGUUCAAUUGAGUGGAGCCUAAAUGAAAUUAAAUAAAACACUUAUGCUAGCAUAGUUGAAGACUCUGAAUUGUCUCCGGAAAAACCUAUGCUAGCACGUCAGCAACAAACGACUCUCUCCAGUACAAUGAUGUUCAACUGAUGUUCACGAGGGUAUCGUACCACAGUGUGAUCCGAACACAGACGAGGUAGAAUGGACAAGAUGGACGUCAAGUGCUGCGCCUUUGAAAGGACGAUUGGAUUCCAUUCGGAAAGAUCAACAAAGAUGAAAAGGCAGACGGGAGGAAGUCAUCCUCCAAUCAUGUCUGCCAAGUGUCCUUGAAGUACGGGAGGCCAUUUCGGGCAAAACACAUCCAAAAACUGCACACGCUUACAACGUAAUCACACACACACGACCACACAUACACAAUCAUUUUUGGCACAUAUGUACCAAAACAAAGCAAAACAUCCAAAAUCUGUACACAUUGUUCAUUUGUUCAUUUCGGUCAAUUGGUCGUUAGCCUGUGAUUCCCCCCCUAGACCCGGUCAGCCGUGUUGAGUCAGUUCGUUCAGUCAUGUUCACGUUCGUUCCGACUCAACAGCGCAACAACACGUGAUGACUAGUGGUGUGUCAUUCAUGAACGAACGGGUCAAAAGAACUCGUUCAGUCAUGUUCACGUCCGUUCCGACUAAACAGCGCAACAACACGUGAUGACUAGUGGUGUGUCAUUCAUGAACGAACGGGUCAAAAGAACUCAUUCAGUCAUGUUCACGUUCGUUCCGACUCAACAGCGCAACAACACGUGAUGACUAGUGGUGUGUCAUUCAUGAACGAUUCACGUUCGUUCCCACUCAACAGCGCAACAACACGUGAUGACUAGUGGUGUGUCAUUCAUGAACGAACGGGUCAAAAGAACUCGUUCAGUCAUGUUCACGUUCGUUCCGACUCAACAGCGCAACAACACAUGAUGACUAGUGGUGUGUCAUUCAUGAACGAACGGGUCAAAAGAACU